UACGAAGGGGACUAGCGUUGCUCGGAAUCACUGGGCAUAAAGGGUGCGUAGGCGGGUUUUUAAGUCAGGGGUGAAAUCCUGGAGCUCAACUCCAGAACUGCCUUUGAAACUAGAGGACUUGGGUACGGGAGAGGUGAGUGGAAUUCCGAGUGUAGAGGUGAAAUUCGUAGAUAUUCGGAAGAACACCAGUGGCGAAGGCGGCUCACUGGCCCGUUACCGACGCUCAGGCGCGACAGCGUGGGGAGCAAACAGG
rnacentral:rRNA from 1 species